rnacentral:sRNA from 1 species
CAAAAAAAUCCAAAAAAC